CCCCACCCUCCACAGACCCAGGCCUUUCCUCCGGGUGCUGAAAAGGUACGAAGGGCUGGCAGUGAGAGUCGUGGAGGAGCCACUGGAGAAGAAGACGUGCCAACUUUCCCACUUGGUGACAAUAAUGGGGUUUUCUGCUUUUUAUUUCAUUAGAAUUUUCAGCUACAAGGAAAACACCACAGACCUUAGCUGAGUUUCUUUCUGCGUAAGAAUCAGCAGGCCUCUUGUAUAAUUUUCUUCCAAGGCCUUCCAGCCUCCAGAGACACUUCUUCCUCCAGCUUUCCUCACCAAAGCCCUCAGAACAGAGGUGCCCCACCCAGCUAGAGAUGGCUCUAGCCUCAGCUUUCUCUUCUGGGGGCUGCCUGGCCUGUCUCAGGGCCUGUGCCCCGCCUGCAGGCUCUGGUGAGGAACGUGUCCUUGCCAGGGCUCCAAGCAUUUUUAAUCAUCCAGUGUUUAUGGGACCUGGAAUGGGGCAGGGCUCAGUGGGGGCUCUGUGGUUAUUUUCUUCUUUUUCCUGGACAGUCAGCUGGGAUUGUCAGGAAUUCCAGGCCGUGUGUGGUUACGGAAGGCCAUGGGGUCUUGAGAGAGGAAACUGACACACUGACCUCCAUUCUGAUGAGCCCCUAGGAACCUAGAGGCGCCUCCUCUCCACUCCUCCAAGUGAGCCUAUUGCUGCAAUCCCAGGACACUGUCCAGAUCAUCUCUUGUGGGAACAGCUGUACUUUCCUCAACCUGAGGAAAUUGCUAAACUCUGGGCCACUUAAGGGAGAACUGAGAGACAGAGGUGCCAGCACUGCCCCUGAUGCAUACAAGCAUCUGAUAAACACCUAUGAAGUGAACGACUACUCCUGGCCUGCAAUCAGUAGCCUAUUGCACUCUCGGUCUAUGAGCUUCUUUCAUUCCAGCUCCAUGUACAGCUCCCUCAGGCACAUGACAGACCCCAAAGAAAUGUCAGUGAGUUGUAAUGUGGGUCUUAGAUGCUGGCCUGCACAUGACUGAC
rnacentral:lncRNA from 1 species